GCAUUUGUAAUCAAUGCAGACACGCAACCUUGAGGUGGUUGUGCCCAAAAGACGUGAAGGUUCGAGUCCUUUCGAGCGCACCA
rnacentral:tRNA from 2 species